rnacentral:lncRNA from 1 species
GAUGCCCCCCUCCCUAUCCAUACAUAUUCCUUGUACAUCCCUGCUCAGCCCAUCUGUUCGUUGCCUCUGCAGCUGGACCCAGAACUGACGGACUGCACAGCAAGAGCUGCAAAUCAAAGUGAAGAGGAUGAAAAGGGACUUCAUGAGCAAGUACUUGAUGCGCGUGGUGACGAGAUCCCAGAUGUGAAGAAACAGCAAGUGGCUGAGGAGAAGCAGGAACUGGAAAGGAAAUUCUCCUGUUUGAGUGAGGAGGUACACCAUGGGCUGGGGCAUGGGCUGGUCAAUGGGCUGAAAAAAAAAGAACUUGAGGACACCAAGAGAGAAAUGGCUCCUGCUGCUGCACUUCCAGGCACUGCAGGGAUCAUCCAGCCACCACCAGCACCUCUGCAGCCUCCACCAGGAGUGGCUGUUCUCCCCCUCCUUCAGCUGGCCUUGGAUUCAGGGCAGACUCCGCACCUCGGGUGCGUCCAUGGGGAUUGUCCCCACAGCGGGUUCGUGAGUCAGCAGUACGGCUGCAGAGACCGAAUUGGACCAAGCAAAAUGAAGACUUUUACUGGCUUCUGAGCAGAUGAAAGAUGUGGCCUUGUUUUCAGAACCAAGCGAGGUCUGCAAGGGCAGUGAGAAAACAAGAGACGGAGGCAUCCUUGAGGAGACCAUGGAGAUCGUCAGCUGCUCAAGCAGGACGUUGUGUGUGGGCAAAGGCACAAGCCAGUUGGACUGCCAGAGUAAGUAAAAUAGAGCUUCACUCUGGGAUCUGUGCUUGGCUAGGAAGGGUAAUUUAUUGUCGUUCUUGCUCUCGGGGCAAAGUUUUGUGUUCCAGCUCCCAUGGCCAACCUUCAGUGUGCCCCUGAAGAGGACUGAAGGGCCAGAAGCUGUAUCCAAGGGCAAGGCCAUCAUCUGCAGCCCUCCUGUUCUUGGGGUAAACAAAUAGAGCAGAGGGUAGAGACAGAGCCUGGCACCCCCAGCUCUUUUUGGGGUGCGGAGCAGGGGUGCUGCCUCAAUCCCGACCUGUUUGGGUACUUCAGGAUGCACUGCUGAGCCGGGACAGCCCCAGCUCUGCUGCUGCAGGUGGCUCCCCCAGCAGUGCUGGUGGCUCCUGCCCUCUUCCAUCCUUGCCUCCCUGUGGGGGGAAACCCACAGGUCAGUUAACCUGGGCUCAUGCUCCUCCGAAUGCUGGAGCUUUGUUGUGUCGGCACCUUCUGGUGCACCUUGUUUCCCUUGUGCAGGGAAGGAAGCCGGGGCUGGAGC